rnacentral:rRNA from 1 species
AGAGUUUGAUCAUGGCUCAGAACGAACGCUGGCGGCGUGGAUAAGACAUGCAAGUCGAACGGGACUUUUCGCUGUAGCAAUACAGUGAAAAGUUUAGUGGCGAACGGGUGCGUAACACGUGGGCAAUCUGCCGAAAAGUGGGGGAUAGCUCGCCGAAAGGCGAAUUAAUACCGCAUGUGGUCAGCCAAGACAUCUUGGUGAAUCCAAAGCCGGGGCAACCUGGCGCUUUUUGAGGAGCCCGCGGCCUAUCAGCUAGUUGGUGAGGUAACGGCUCACCAAGGCUUUGACGGGUAGCUGGUCUGAGAGGACGACCAGUCACACUGGAACUGAGACACGGUCCAGACACCUACGGGUGGCGGCAGUCGAGAAUUUUUCUCAAUGGGGGAAACCCUGAAGGAGCGACGCCGCGUGGAGGAUGAAGGCUUUCGGGUUGUAAACUCCUGUCAUUUGGGAACAAGGUGCGAGUAUUAACUGUACUCGCAUUGAUAGUACCAGAAGGGGAAGAGACGGCUAACUCUGUGCCAGCAGCCGCGGUAAUACAGAGGUCUCAAGCGUUGUUCGGAUUCAUUGGGCGUAAAGGGUGCGUAGGUGGCGCUGUAAGUCGGGUGUGAAAUUUCGGAGCUUAACUCCGAAACUGCAUUCGAUACUGCGGUGCUUGAGGACUGGAGAGGAGACUGGAAUUCAUGGUGUAGCAGUGAAAUGCGUAGAGAUCAUGAGGAAGACCAGUGGCGAAGGCGGGUCUCUGGACAGUUCCUGACACUGAGGCACGAAGGCCAGGGGAGCAAACGGGAUUAGAUACCCUAGUAGUCC